AGUGAACGCUGGCGGUAGGCCUAACACAUGCAAGUCGAACGGCAGCACAGGAGAGCUUGCUCUCUGGGUGGCGAGUGGCGGACGGGUGAGGAAUACAUCGGAAUCUACUCUGUCGUGGGGGAUAACGUAGGGAAACUUACGCUAAUACCGCAUACGGCCUACGGGUGAAAGCAGGGGACCUUCGGGCCAUGCGCGAUUGAAUGAGCCGAUGUCGGAUUAGCUAGUUGGCGGGGUAAAGGCCCACCAAGGCGACGAUCCGUAGCUGGUCUGAGAGGAUGAUCAGCCACACUGGAACUGAGACACGGUCCAGACUCCUACGGGAGGCAGCAGUGGGGAAUAUUGGACAAUGGGCGCAAGCCUGAUCCAGCCAUACCGCGUGGGUGAAGAAGGCCUUCGAGUUGUAAAGCCCUUUUGUUGGGAAAGAAAUCCAGCUGGCUAAUACCCGGUUGGGAUGACGGUACCCAAGGAAUAAGCACCGGCUAACUUCGUGCCAGCAGCCGCCGUAA
rnacentral:rRNA from 1 species